GAGUUUGAUCCUGGCUCAGGACGAACGCUGGCGGCGUGCCUAAUACAUGCAAGUCGAGCGAAGAGAUGGGAGCUUGCUCCCUGAUCUUAGCGGCGGACGGGUGAGUAACACGUGGGCAACCUGCCCUGCAGACUGGGAUAACUCCGGGAAACCGGAGCUAAUACCGGGUAAUACAUCGCACCGCAUGGUGCAAUGUUGAAAGUUGGCUUUCGAGCUAACRCUGCAGGAUGGGCCCGCGGCGCAUUAGCUAGUUGGUAAGGUAAUGGCUUACCAAGGCGACGAUGCGUAGCCGACCUGAGAGGGUGAUCGGCCACACUGGGACUGAGACACGGCCCAGACUCCUACGGGAGGCAGCAGUAGGGAAUCUUCCGCAAUGGACGAAAGUCUGACGGAGCAACGCCGCGUGAGUGACGAAGGCCUUCGGGUCGUAAAGCUCUGUUGUUAGGGAAGAACAAGUACCGUUCGAAUAGGGCGGUACCUUGACGGUACCUAACCAGAAAGCCACGGCUAACUACGUGCCAGCAGCCGCGGUAAUAC
rnacentral:rRNA from 1 species